rnacentral:lncRNA from 1 species
UGAAAAUGUUUUCAAUUACUAAGUUUUUCUUAAAACACCAAAAUCCUCCCCUCCAGCUUUAAGAUGUUUUACUCCCAGCCUAGUACCCAAAAAAAGGGGAAAGGAAAACAAGAAUCUUUGUGCCUGCCCUUUGCAUGACCCAGGACUCCGGUGCCAAUGAAAAGAACACAAUCCUGAGGCCAAACUCAGCCUCUACCCUGGACAUCACAGAAUCCUGAAUAGACUUCGGAAGAGCUGUGACCUAGGAUGGAGGCUGUCAAUCAAGGGGCACUGCCUCCCCUCAGAAGGCUGGGAAGGUCUGCCAGUGAAAUAAUGGAAACUUUCCGGGAGCAAGAAGCUAAAAGAUUUUUGUCAAGACAAAUGCUCAGCAUAAGGAAAAUGAAGGUAAAUUAACUAACACCAGAGACCACAGCUGCUAGGUCAAUGUAGGAUGAGCUGUAAGAAACAAGUGACAUCGUGAAGCCCUGGUACUGGACAAGAAGUUAAUGUUUAUAUUGAGAACAGCUGGACUAGAAAUUCUUUGAGGCCAGAGGCUGUGGUUUGCGUUUCCCCUGAAUCUCCUACAGCUUCCAACACAAUGCUGAACAUAGAAAAAAAUCAGAAUUCUCACAGAGCCAGAUCCAGGUAAAAAGGUGGAAGAGGACACAUUGUGUUUCUAUUUGAUGAAAAUUGCCGUAAAUAUUUUGAAUGGAUUCAGAGCAUUGAGGAAACCAUGAAAAGACACUUGCAAAAGAGAACUUCCAGAGCUGCUUCAGAGACUGGCG